UUUUCUCUUGGAAAAACAAAUUGGAAUCACCUUUUUUAAGAGAAAGUCAGAAUUCUAAGAUGAACUUUUAAGCCAUUAACUUUUUAAUUACUUUGUUCUGUGGCGGAAACAAGCUCCCAAAUGCAUCGCUGUAAAUCUCCAUUGCCAUCGUCAGUGUGAGUGUGUCGGGCAGUAAAGGGUGAAGUGAGGCUGAGAGCUGAACUGCUGACAUUUGCCCACAGCAGAGCCGCGUCUGUGCAUGACUCUCUGUUACUGUCUGUCCAAAUGCCACAGAGAAUCCGAUUAAAGCUUAUCAAUGGCUGCUAUUAUAACACCACACAUCCCAAUCAAACCUGCCACAUUAGCAGAGGAACACUGCCAUGCUUUCACUGCGUGUGUGUGCGAGUUAUUUUAGAGGAAGGUAGUGCAGCUGAAAUUGAAAGAGCACAUUGAGGCGCACACAGAUGUAAUCAAAUCUGCUUGAUUCAUAUGACUGGUUUGCUGGCAUUCCCAGCCAUCAGUUUCCCAAUACUGUGCAGUCAGAGAGAAACAGAGAGAGAAAGAAAGAAAGCAGAGGCUCUGUGUUAAACAACAGGAACAAGCCUCGUUCUCUCUGAUAUCAACAAGAAUGUUGGCCGAAUGGAGUUGGGUUAGAAAACAAAAAUGUGACACUGACCUUCAUCUUACUAUAUGAUACAUUCUUCAUUUAAAAACACCCUACUGACACUCUCACAAUGCUGCCGUGUUUUUAGUGGUUAAGUUGAUCUGAAUGAUUGGUAACAUGAGGUUGCUUGGACGUUCUGGGUGGUUGCCAGGGUGUUGCUAUGCAGUUAUUAAUGUAGUCUGAAUGGUUGUCAACAUGUAGUUGCUAAGGUGUUCUGGGUGGUUGCCAGGGUGUUGCUAUGCAGUUAUUAAUAUAGUCUGAAUGGUUGUCAACAUGUGGUUGCUAAGGUGUUCUGGGUGGUUGCCAGGGUGUUGCUAUGCAGUUAUUAAUGUAGUCUGAAUGGUUGUCAACAUGUGGUUGCUAAGGUGUUCUGGGUGGUUGCCAGGGUGUUGCUAUGCAGUUAUUAAUAUAGUCUGAAUGGUUGUCAACAUGUGGUUGCUAAGGUGUUCUGGGUGGUUGCCAGGGUGUUGCUAUGCAGUUAUUAAUAUAGUCUGAAUGGUUGUCAACAUGUGGUUGCUAAGGUGUUCUGGGUGGUUGCCAGGGUGUUGCUAUGCAGUUAUUAAUGUAGUCUGAAUGGUUGUCAACAUGUGGUUGCUAAGGUGUUCUGGGUGGUUGCCAGGGUGUUGCUAUGCAGUUAUUAAUAUAGUCUGAAUGGUUGUCAACAUGUGGUUGCUAAGGUGUUCUGGGUGGUUGCCAGGGUGUUGCUAUGCGGUCAGUAAGGUGUUCUGAAUGGUUGUUACCAUGAGGUUGCUAUGUUGUUCUAGGUAGUUGCUAGGGUGUUGCUAUGCAAUUAUUAAUGUAGUCUGAAUGGUUGUUAACAUAUGGUUGCCAAGGUGUUCUGGGUGGUUGCUAGGGUGUUGCUAUGCAGUCAUUAAGGUGUUCUGAAUUGUUUUUAACAUGUGGUUGCUUCUUGGUUGUUGCCAGGGUGUUGCUAUGCAGUUAUUAAUGUAGUCUGAAUGGUUGUCAACAUGUAGUUGCUAAGGUGUUCUGGGUGGUUGCCAGGGUGUUGCUAUGCAGUUAUUAAUGUAGUCUGAAUGGUUGUCAACAUGUGGUUGCUAAGGUGUUCUGGGUGGUUGCCAGGGUGUUGCUAUGCAGUCAGUAAGGUGUUCUGAAUGGUUGUUACCAUGAGGUUGCUAUGUUGUUCUAGGUAGUUGCUAGGGUGUUGCUAUGCAAUUAUUAAUGUAGUCUGAAUGGUUGUUAACAUAUGGUUGCCAAGGUGUUCUGGGUGGUUGCUAGGGUGUUGCUAUGCAGUCAUUAAGGUGUUCUGAAUUGUUGUUAACAUGUGGUUGCCAAGGU